rnacentral:sRNA from 1 species
UUUAAAAAUAGGGUGAAAGUAACUGAAAGCAGUGGACUCACUUGCUUGUUUUCUUAAAUUAAGCUUAUGUGACUCACCCAUUUUCUGUCUUGGUGUAGGAACUUAGUGAUUUGGCCCGUGACCCUCCAGCACAAUGUUCUGCAGGUCCAGUUGGGGAUGAUAUGUUUCAUUGGCAAGCCACAAUUAUGGGACCUAAUGACAGCCCAUAUCAAGGCGGUGUAUUCUUUUUGACAAUUCAUUUUCCUACAGACUACCCCUUCAAACCACCUAAGGCAAGUAUUUCCCCUCAAAAUCUGUUAGUAUAAAUUUAUGCUUUAUUUCAAAGGAAUAGAGCAUUCUUGGAAGAUAGGGUUCUGUGUAGGCUGUAUAUAUAUGUUGAAUUGCACUGAUGUAUAGAUGCUGACUCUUAACCUUUGGUUUAAAGAGCUAGACCUCAGUUUGAGCUUUGUAAAUAGGAAUAAGGUUUGCCUUUUCUUUAAUGUUG